rnacentral:rRNA from 1 species
UUAGAGUGCUUAAAGCAGGCCAUUGCCUGAAUAGUUGUGCAUGGAAUGAUGGAAUAGGACCUCGGUUCUAUUUUGUUGGUUUUAAGAACCCGAGGUAAUGAUUAAUAGAGACGGACGGGGGCAUUCGUAUUGCGACGCUAGAGGUGAAAUUCUUGGACCGUCGCAAGACGUACUACUGCGAAAGCAUUUGCCAAGAACGUUCUCAUUAAUCAAGAACGAAAGUUAGAGGUUCGAAGGCGAUCAGAUACCGCCUAGUUCUAACCAUAAACGAUGCUGACUAGCGAUCCGUCUGUGUUAAUCCCAUGACUAGACGGGCAGCUUCCGGGAACCAAAGUACUUUGAGUUCCGGGGGAAGUAUGGUUGCAAAGCUGAAACUUAAAGGAAUUGACGGAAGGGCACCACCAGGAGUGGAGCCUGCGGCUUAAUUUGACUCAACACGGGGAACCUCACCAGGCCCGGACACCGGAAGGAUUGACAGAUUGAGAGCUCUUUCUUGAUUCGGUGGGUGGUGGUGCAUGGCCGUUCUUAGUUGGUGGAGCGAUUUGUCUGGUUAAUUCCGAUAACGAACGAGACUCUAGCCUGCUAACUAGUCGGAGUCGUUCUA